rnacentral:rRNA from 1 species
CCUACGGGAGGCAGCAGUAGGGAAUUUUCGUCAAUGGGCGCAAGCCUGAACGAGCGAUGCCGCGUGAGUGAAGAAGGCCUUCGGGUCGUAAAGCUCUGUUGCUGGGGAAAAAAGGCAGCAUCAGUAACUGUUUGCUGACUGAUGGUGCCCCGCCAGAAAGUCACGGCUAACUACGUGCCAGCAGCCGCGGUAAUACGUAGGUGGCGAGCGUUAUCCGGAAUGGUUGGGCGUAAAGGGUGCGCAGGCGGUCCUGUAAGUCUGGAGUGAAAGGCAUGGGCUCAACCCAUGCAUGGCUUUGGAAACUGGAGGACUGGAGAGCAGGAGAGGGCGGUGGAACUCCAUGUGUAGCGGUAAAAUGCGUAGAUAUAUGGAAGAACACCAGUGGCGAAGGCGGCCGCCUGGCCUGUUGCUGACGCGGAGGCACGAAAGCGUGGGGAGCAAAUAGGAUUAGAUACCCGUGUAGUC